GAUUUAAAUUGCCGCGGUAUUUUGACCGUGCGAAGGUAGCAUAAUAAUUAGUUUUUUGAUUGAAAGCUGGAAUGAAUGAUUGGACGAGAAGACACCUGUCUCUACUAAAAUUUUUUUUGAAUUUAACUUUUAAGUAAAAAGGCUUAAAUUUUUCUUAAAGACGAGAAGACCCUAUAGAGUUUUACAUUUAUUUUUGUUGAAAGUUUUUGGUAUUAGUUGUUUUUACUUAAUUAAAUGUUUGGUUGGGGUGACUAAAAGAUUUAAUUAACUCUUUUAAGCUUUUGUUACUGAUUAGUAAUGUUUUAAACCUGGAUUUUCCAAGUUUAAUAUAAAUUACCUUAGGGAUAACAGCNUAAUUNCUCUUUAGAGUUCUUAUUGGAAGGGGAGUUUGNNACCUCNAUGUUGAUUUAAAUUGCCGCGGUAU
rnacentral:rRNA from 1 species